rnacentral:piRNA from 1 species
UGGGAGGCUAAGUUUCAUGAGUGAGACAGA